rnacentral:lncRNA from 1 species
UUUCACAGGUUUCUCUCCCUUCCUGAGCAACGGCAGCUGAGUGCCAUGAGAGGACAGUGACAACCUUGGGGCCUCAUGGUGAGGGUGGCAGAAACUUUGUUAGCCUGGGUGCUCAGGGUGGACAGCUGCUCUUGCCAACCGGGAACAUUUGCCUUGAGCUCUUUUGUAAGUGACAGAUAAGCUUUUAUUGUACUUCAGCCAAGAUACAAACAUUGGACGUAUUUGUACAGCAGCUAAAGGUGCAAUCCACAACCUACCUCCUCUGCAUCCCAGUUUUGCUCCAGAGGAGAAGUUCACGAGGUGGAUUGGCCUGAUGGGUCCUGGCUCCACUGGGAAGACCCCUGGGAGAAUCUGAAUCUUCUUGGAGGACUUCUCUGCUCUGCUUCUAGUUCUCCACCUCCAGGUUGGGAGAGGGUCCUGACACCAAAAGUUCAUUUCAGAAUCUGCCUUUCAGCCCUUCCUUCUGGUCAAAGGUGUGAGUAUGGCUGGCAUGAUGGGAUGGAGAGAACAUGGGCUUCUCAAUCCCCAAUCUACCACUAGUAAGCUAUGGGAGCUGCAAUCCUCUCAGACCUCCGUUUCCUAUUCAUAAAAAUGGGAACAAUAACACUCCCCUCAUGGGACUGCUUCUAGGUGCAGUGACAGGGCAGCGGCACCAUCUAACACAUUAAAAUGCUCAGUUUUUCUUGCUAAUACCAUAAGGAGAUUUAAAAUAUAAGUGUAUCUAUAAAUUCCCGGACCCCAGUGUUGCCCCGUUGAAUAGAAACUACUGGAGGUUGGGUUCUGAGAAUGUGAAUUUUUGAGGCACUCCCAGUGAGACUCUGAGAAGCCGCGAUGUUUGGGAAUGACAGCUUUUCCAUUCUUCAAUUCCAGAUGCUAUUCAUAAUGAGAUGUGCUACCGAUAACAACUUCUCAGGAAAAAAUGUGUGAAUUACCAAUUACAUUUAUACAUUUCAACCUCAGACUCAUUAAAAAUUGCACCCCUGGACUGUGCAUUGUCUCAGCUGUGGUCACAGGACUGAAGGAGAAGUCUAUGUGGUGUGAGGCAAUAACCAUGACUGUGAUUAGAUGGCAGCCUCGAUGAUCACCUGGUAUAUGCCAUGCUGGGAGGCCACUGAGAAUGCUCUGCAUCAUCCCCCAGGCCUGGGAUGCAGAGUGUCGGGGAAUCAGUCCUGUGUCUCUCUUCUCCAGCAUCUCUCAGCUGGAUGCACUGGGCUCUCUUUGUGGUUCAGACCUUCAGGAGCCAAGCCAAAUUGAGUCAGAGCAUGCUCCUCAGUGUCUGCCCCACCACUGAGAGGGGUCAGCCUUCACCUGGCAUCUGGCAGACCAGUCUGCACCGUGGGGCUUCCUCGUUGCUGUUGGAGCGUCUUUGCUCCUCACAGAGUUGGGAAGGGUGGGAGGGCCUCUUUCAGAGCUCUCUGCCCCUUUCCCUGUGUUGGCUGAGUCCCUAGGACUGUACUUGUGCGUUGAUUUCCCUCUUCGGUUCAUUGUAUUUGUCAGGAUUCAGGCAGGAACACACAAACCAGGCUUGGUGUAUCUGAUAGAGGAAUUUAACACUGGCUAUAGAAUGUGUAGAUGUUGGAAGGCUGGGAUGGCAAGAGGGAGACUGUGAGGUGGCCCAGGGCUUAUGACCUAUAGAAAGCUGCUGCCCCAGCUAAGGCUGGGGGAACAAAAAGAAGGAGGGUUAUCAUUAGGAUUUGGGAUGCAGAGGAGGAGCCAUAGCCUCGGGAGCAUUGCUGUGGAGGAGGGACUGCUGCAGCUAGAGCUGAGAUGAUGGAAAUAGCACAGCUGCUUGAGAGACAUCACCUGGAGAAGAAGGAACGAGAGAAAGAGUGAGAGGAAUAGAAGAUCAACACUACUCUCCCAGCAUCUCUUAUUGAGAGAGCUUGUGAAGAAGUCAGCUGGCAAAGGAGCCAAGUGUGACUGAGCGGUGUGCAGAGAGUGUGGUGGGCCUGGGAGACAAUAGGCAAACAAUGAGUACAUUCAGGCAGUCAGCACAAAUUUACUAAGUACCUUUUUUUUUGAGACUGAGUCUCACCCUGUUGCCAGGCUGGAAUGCAGUGGCGCGAUCUUGGCUCGCUGCAACCUCCACCCCCCAGGUUCAAGUGAUUCUCCUGCCUCAGCCUCCUGAGUAGCUGGGACUACAGACACACCCCACCACGCCCGGCUAAUUUUUGUAUUUUUACCGGAGAUGGGGUUUCACCAUGUUGGUCAGGAUGGUCUUGAUCGCUUGACAUCGUGAUCCGCCUGCCUUGGCCUUCCAAAGUGUUGGGAUUAUGGGCGUGAGUCACUGUACCUGGCCUACUAAGUGCCUUUUAAAUGCCAGACACUGUUGUGAUGCUGGGGGGUGAGCAGGGAACAAAACAGAAAAUUUCCUGCCAUCUAGGAGCCAGCAUCUUAGUUGGGGAGACAGUCAGCAAACAUAAAAAAAGUAAAAUAUGUAAUCUCUUAAAUGGCAGUAAGAGCUAUAGAGAAAAAUGAAGACGGGAAGGGGGCAGAGAGUGGUGGGAAUGAGGGGGUGGGCAGGAAAGGUCUCACUAAGAACAGUUUAAGCAAAGACCUGGAAGAAGCCAGGCAGCGAGCCCCGAGGCUCUUCGGGGAAGAGCAUGGCAGGCAGAGAUACAGCAAGGGCAAAGGCCUUGAGGCCUGCCUUGGUUAAGGAAAAAUAAAGAGGCCUGAGCAGAGUGUGCGAGGGGAGAAGAAGUAGGAGAUGAGGGCAGGGGGAUACAGCUGAGCAGUUUGGGCUCCAGAAAU